rnacentral:misc_RNA from 1 species
AACGCACAUUGCGCCCUCUGGUAUUCCGGGGGGCAUGCCUGUCCGAGCGUCAUUGUGACCCCCUCAAGCCCGGCUUGUGUGAUGGGCCAUCGUCCCCCGCCUUGGGGGGACGGGCCUGAAAGGCAGCGGCGACGUCCACCGCCUGACCGGAACGCAUGGGGACUUCUGUCACGCGUUUCAGGUUGGCGGGUCGGUGUCGGCCUCGUCUUGCAUCGUCAACCCCUUCAACCGUUGACCUCGGAUCAGGUAGGGAUACCCGCUGAACUUAA